GACGAACGCUGGCGGCGUGCUUAACACAUGCAAGUCGAACGCUGAAGCUUGGUGCUUGCACCGGGUGGAUGAGUGGCGCACGGGUGAGUAACACGUGAGUAACCUGCCUUUGACUCUGGGAUAAGCCCGGGAAACUGGGUCUAAUACUGGAUACUACAUGCCACUGCAUGGUGGUUUGUGGAAAGCCUUUUACUCGUUCUGGAUGUGCUCACGGCCCAUCAACUUAAUGGUUGUGUAAUGGCCCACCAACUCGACGACGGGUAGCCGGCCUGAGACGGUCAACAGGGACCAGACGACUAAAGCACGGCGCAGACUACUACAGGCGGCAACGGGCGGGACUAUAACAGAAUAAGCGGAAGUGAGGGGCGAAGACGCCGCGUGAGGGAUGACGGCCUACGGGUUAUGAACCUAUGUCAACGCGACAGAAGCCAGAGUGACGGUACCUGAAAAGGAAGCCACGGCUAACUACGUG
rnacentral:rRNA from 1 species